rnacentral:rRNA from 1 species
CAGCAGCCACGGUAAAACGGAGGGUGCAAGCGUUAAUCGGAAUUACUGGGCGUAAAGCGUGCGUAGGCGGUUCGUUAAGUCUGUUGUGAAAGCCCCGGGCUCAACCUGGGAAUGGCAAUGGAUACUGGCGAGCUAGAGUGUGUCAGAGGAUGGUGGAAUUCCCGGUGUAGCGGUGAAAUGCGUAGAGAUCGGGAGGAACAUCAGUGGCGAAGGCGGCCAUCUGGGACAACACUGACGCUGAGGCACGAAAGCGUGGGGAGCAAACAGGAUUAGAGACCCGUGUAGUCCCUGUCUCUUAUAC